GACGGAGGAUGCAAGUGUUAUCCGGAAUCACUGGGCGUAAAGCGUCUGUAGGUGGUUUAAUAAGUCAACUGUUAAAUCUUGAGGCUCAACCUCAAAAUCGCAGUCGAAACUAUUAGGCUAGAGUAUAGUAGGGGUAAAGGGAAUUUCCAGUGGAACGGUGAAAUGCGUAGAGAUUGGAAAGAACACCGAUGGCGAAGGCACUUUACUGGGCUAUUACUAACACUCAGAGACGAAAGCUAGGGUAGCAAAUGGG
rnacentral:rRNA from 1 species